rnacentral:tRNA from 1 species
GCCCGGGUGGCGAAAUUGGUAGACGCAAGGGACUUAAAAUCCCUCGGGGUUCACCCCCCGUGCCGGUUCGAGUCCGGCCCCGGGCACCA